GCAUUACAAAUAUAGUUAAAGACACAUAUGCAGCAGGGCUAAAAAGGUGUAAGUCAUUGAUACAAUUGGGUGUAAAGGAGAGAUCCUGUCGAACCCGGGUCAAGUGGGGCUUCUGAGGCAUAAAAACAGCCAGUCUUCCCAGAGAGCAUGGUCCCCCAGAGCUGUUUGCUGGAACACAGGAAUAGACAGCCAUUCCACAUAUCAGAAACCAUCCUGUUAGCAGUUUAACAUGAGUAUAAGCAUAAGAUAUGCCAGUGGUGGUGGUGCAAUUCAUCUUCAUACCUGCUGAGAACACAAGACAGUUUUAGUACAGUGAACAAAGGUUGCACACUCUCUAGCUGGGGCUAUAUUAGCAACCGUGUUUUAUGUUUUCACUGAAAACAUUUCCCUGUCUUUUGUAGUUACCACUGGUCCCCAAUUAUAAAUAUCAGAGUAGGUCAUUUUCUUUUCAAUAUGUUCAAACACAGUACAAUUUCUAAGGCUUUCCAAAGGGAUACAGACACCUAUAAGACAUUAAGUGAAAGUUUGUUCAACAUAAGUUCCUCCAGCAAAGCAAAAGUCAGAAAUAUUCAGAACAAUUUUUGCUAAAUAUACCCAAAUAUCUUCAUCCUGUUUGAAGGGAAUAAGUUGUCCAUAAUAAGGGGUUAAACAAGAGGUAAUGAAGAAAACAUAAGUCACUGUCUCUGAAAGAUGACUUUCGGGUCUUCUUGAGGUUCGGUGGUCCAUUGUUCCUCUAGCGCUUUCUUUAUCCUGGUGUGAUGAAUCCAAGGUUUUAUUUUUGCCAGCUCCACCAUGGUGGGGGUGGUGAGGAGUAUGUCCCAAGGUCCAGUCCACUUUCCUUCUAGUUGGCUUUCUGGAGAUGCUGUCACCCAAAUCUUGAGUAGCACCUUGUCUGCAGGCUCAAAGGAAUACAGCAAACCUCCUGAGUAAUUUCUGAAACAAAAGCAGGUUCAUUAUCAAUCUGGAUGCUGCCAGGGAGGCCAAAGUGAGGGAUUAUAUCCUUUAGUAAAUCUUUCACUGCCUCCAAGGAUUUCUCCAUUCUAGUAGGAUAAGGUUCUACCCAUCCUGAAAAAGGUGUCAACAAAGACUAACAAAUAUUUCUACUC